CCAUUACUGUAGCUGUAAACACCUUUAUUGCAAAUAGGCUAUAGCGUAUAAGCAAGCUAGCAUACCAACAGCCUUAUUAUGUCACUUUAGGACGUCUUUGUGGACUACUAAAAACGUUUUUGGCUUCCCAAAUGCUGAAGGCCAUCAUUUGAAAUACUUGUUGGCCGGUCACCUCUCCUUAGGGACCUCCUCUCAUAAUCCUCCUCUCAACCAACGCCAAUUUCAACCGGAAGUUCUCGUUAACUGCCAUCUUAUCGCCAAUUCUUCCCACUUUGACAUGCCAAUAUCACUUCACUAAGGUUGCUGCUGGGUUGUUGUUUUUUGAGGUGCUUUUUAUUCAGUCCUUCACAGCAGAGAGGAGAGAAUGACAGAUGACAAAAGCUCCAGGCCAGGACAAAACCAAGGACACGGUUGUACGUAGGUGGAAUGAGAACCUGUCUGACAGGAGAUUUGUCAUGGAUGUUGACCAUGUACUGAUGCUUCAUCACUCCCAGUUCUCUGUGUGGGUGUUUUGUGCCCUACCAGACCUGCACAAAGACCCAGAUGAGCCUGCUCUUUGGAAAAUAAUAACCACUCUCACAGGAACAGG